UGUAAGCUAGCCCAGCAUCAGCAUCCCAUGAUAAAUAAUGCUCGUCACUGUUAGCCAACCAGCACCCAGCUUAAUGGCCGGAGCACCUGGUGGAUAUGAUGUCAUCAUGAGCCAUCAUUCCCACAUUGAUGCCUGAUCGAGAUCGGACAGUCGUGAUGGAGAUGGUUGUCGAAGCGUGUUUGGUGGAUUUAUAGAUAAGAAACACAUGCAUGCAUGAC
rnacentral:lncRNA from 1 species